AUACGUAGGGGGCGAGCGUUGUCCGGAAUGAUUGGGCGUAAAGGGCGCGUAGGCGGCCCGGUAAGUCUGGAGUGAAAGUCCUGUUUUUAAGAUGGGAAUUGCUUUGGAUACUGUCGGGCUUGAGUGCAGGAGAGGUAAGUGGAAUUCCCAGUGUAGCGGUGAAAUGCGUAGAGAUUGGGAGGAACACCAGUGGCGAAGGCGACUUACUGGACUGUAACUGACGCUGAGGCGCGAAAGUGUGGGGAGCAAACAGGAUUUGAUACCCUGGUAGUCCACACUGUAAACGAUGAAUGCUAGGUGUAGGGGGUAUCGACCCCUUCUGUGCCGCAGUCAACACAAUAAGCAUUCCGCCUGGGGAGUACGGCCGCAAGGUUGAAACUCAAAGGAAUUGACGGGG
rnacentral:rRNA from 1 species